AUUGAACGCUGGCGGCAGGCUUAACACAUGCAAGUCGAGCGGAGUGAUGGUGCUUGCACUAUCACUUAGCGGCGGACGGGUGAGUAAUGCUUAGGAAUCUGCCUAUUAGUGGGGGACAACAUCUCGAAAGGGAUGCUAAUACCGCAUACGUCCUACGGGGGAAAGCAGGGGAUCACUUGUGACCUUGCGCUGAUAGAUGAGCCUAAGUCGGAUUAGCUAGUUGGUGGGGUAAAGGCCUACCAAGGCGAAGAUCUGUAGCGGGUCUGAGAGGAUGAUCCGCGACACUGGGACUGAGACACGGCCCAGACUCCUACGGGAGGCAGCAGUGGGGAAUAUUGGACAAUGGGGGGAACCCUGAUCCAGCCAUGCCGCGUGUGUGAAGAAGGCCUUAUGGUUGUAAAGCACUUUAAGCGAGGAGGAGGCUCUUUUGGUUAAUACCCAAGAUGAGUGGACGUUACUCGCAGAAUAAGCACCGGCUAACUCUGUGCCAGCCGCCGCGGUAA
rnacentral:rRNA from 1 species